CAAAGUAUGUCUAGGUCUUAACCACUUUCCCUUCUUACCAAUCAACAAUCCUGCUUGUCAUAUAAGGUGUUUCCUAGAAGUACUGGGACAUGCAGAUUCUUCUUCCAAUUACUCUCUUCAGAUAAAGGCAGGUAUUGUAUUGAUGCAUGAAGAUCACCAGUAUGAGAAAAUAGAGUCAACUGAUAAAACAGAAAUGGAAGGAAUACAAGAAUGACAAGAAAUUAAUGUGCCAAAAUUUAAGUUCAUGAAUGUACUUAAGCAUAAUGGCAAUCCAAGUUAAAGGAGAGAUGGCUUCUUCACAAAACUAUUGUAAGAUAUAUGUGGA